rnacentral:rRNA from 1 species
GACGAACGCUAGCUACAGGCUUAACACAUGCAAGUCGAGGGGAAACGAUAGAGAAAGCUUGCUUUUUCUAGGCGUCGACCGGCGCACGGGUGAGUAACGCGUAUCCAACCUGCCCAUCACUUGGGGAUAACCUUGCGAAAGUAAGACUAAUACCCAAUGACGUCUCUAGAAGACAUCUGAAGGAGAUUAAAGAUUUAUCGGUGAUGGAUGGGGAUGCGUCUGAUUAGCUUGUUGGCGGGGUAACGGCCCACCAAGGCGACGAUCAGUAGGGGUUCUGAGAGGAAGGCCCCCCCACAUUGGAACUGAGACACGGUCCAAACUCCUACGGGAGCAGCAGUGAGGAAUAUUGGUCAAUGGACGAGAGUCUGAACCAGCCAAGUAGCGUGCAGGAUGACGGCCCUAUGGGUUGUAAACUGCUUUUANAAGGGAAUAAAGUGAGUCUCGUGAGACUUCUUGCAUGUACCUUAUGAAUAAGGACCGGCUAAUUCCCGUGCCAGCAGCCG